AAACAAAAUUUCAAAACGACAUAAUAUGACACCUCUCUAUUACUUUUAAAAAGCAACGUACAAUAUUAACCAGUACAAAGUACAAAGAGUACAGCAGAAUUGUGUGCCAUUACCCUAAAUUCAUAAUAUCUAAUUCUCGGAAAAUUCAACUCGUAAACACUAUUUAAGCUCUCAAAUACACAAUAUAUACACGUUUCGAAAAUUCACUAACACGCGCAUUAAUAUUUAUUAACCAAAAAUAAUGUUGAUUCAUCUCGUUUCGCGCGACAAAAUAUCGAAUAAUUCGUAAACAAAUUCAAAAUGUCCGCUGUAAUUUUCUAUGUAAUAUUUACAACAUAAAUUAUAUAUGUACCGAAUGUCAUUUUUUAUGUCGAUUGAUGACCGUAGUUGGCCACAGACGACAGCUGAAUGCAAAAUUGGGCACAUUGUGGACACACUGAAUCAUAUAGGUGUUGCAAUUUCAAGAUUUGACACCUCUACUAUUUCCUAAAUAAUAUUGUUACUCCACUUCUAUGUUCUAAAACAUGUUCUUAUUAAAUAUUUACCAAGAUUCUCUGAGUUCAUAAUCUUCAUCAAACUACAAACAUCCACCACUGAGCAUAAGACUACAGAUGCUGACAGGCGUGUCACAAUAUGGUCAGACAUUUUGACCUUAUUGAAAACUAAUGAUCAACUUGUUAUGCCCAGUGCCAAACUGGGAAACGAAGAACAGGCAGUAGCCCAUAUCUAAGAGUGGAUAGUCCAUAAGUAUACUCUGAUCAACAGUGAAGUACUAGGCCCCAAUAUGCAUCCUAUCUUGUAAUGUCAAUGAUAUCUGCCCGUAUCUACCUAUGUUCAUCCUGGAUCAAUCACAGGAUAUAAAGAACACUUAAGUAAAAUGCUAGAAGUGAUUGAGAAAUUACUUUCAUUUAUUUGAAACAAAAUAAAAUUUCAUAAUCUAAAAA